rnacentral:sRNA from 1 species
AGCCAAAACUUCAUUGAUUAAGGCUUUGAAUGGGAGGGAAGCAGAAAAAAUACAUGUUUACCUUUGCAUAUAGUGCUCCUAUUAUCAAGACAUUAUUUCUGUAUUUUCCUUUUUGUUUUAAUAUUUAGAGUUAAGAUUUCUGUUAUUUAAAAACAGUUGAUCUAUGCAUGCAGUCCUUCUCUUACCAAGACAUCAUUCAUGUAUUUUUAUUUUUGUUUUAACAUAACAUUUUUGUUAUUUAAAAUCAGUUGACAUGUGCAUGUAGUGCUUAUGUUACCAAUACAUCAUUU